GUGUGUGUGUAUCUGUCUGUCUGUCUGUCUGUCUGUCUGUCUGUCUGUCUGUCUGUCUGUCUGUCUGUCUGUCUGUCUGUCUGUCUGUCUGUCUGUCUGUCUGUCUGUCUGUCUGUCUGAUGAGAAACAGCUGGUGGGUAAAGCUCCCUGCUCUGGGUGAUCCAUGCUGCAUGCCUUGUCACUGCGAUAACUGAGGCCAUUUUUCUUCUCUAAAGAUGAGGUUGGUGCUAGGUCAGCUAAUGUUGGUUAAUGCUGCUUCCAUACAGGCCAUGUUAACGAGGAUUUGCUAUGUGCUAGAUUAUCACAAGAUAUUUUCUAAUCAGACAGACACACAUGCACAGGUGAAUAUCACUCCAUAGACAGUCAACAUGCACAGUUGAACAUCACUCCAUAGACAGUCAACAUGCACAGGUGAAUAUCACAGCUGAAUAUCACUCCAUAGACAGUCAACAUGCACAGGUGAAUAUCACAGCUGAAUAUCACUCCAUAGACAGUCAACAUGCACAGGUGAAUAUCACAGCUGAAUAUCACUCCAUAGACAGUCAACAUGCACAGCUGAAUAUCACUCCAUAGACAGUCAACAUGCACAGCUGAAUAUCACUCCAUAGACAGUCAACAUGCACAGCUGAAUAUCACUCCACAGACAGUCAACAUGCACAGCUGAAUAUCACUCCAUAGACAGUCAACAUGCACAGCUAAAUAUCACUCCAUAGCUGAAUAUCACUCCA